rnacentral:rRNA from 1 species
CCUACGGGUGGCUGCAGUGGGGAAUAUUGCACAAUGGGCGCAAGCCUGAUGCAGCCAUGCCGCGUGUGUGAAGAAGGCCUUCGGGUUGUAAAGCACUUUCAGCGGGGAGGAAGGCGUUAAGGUUAAUAACCUUGGCGAUUGACGUUACCCGCAGAAGAAGCACCGGCUAACUCCGUGCCAGCAGCCGCGGUAAUACGGAGGGUGCAAGCGUUAAUCGGAAUUACUGGGCGUAAAGCGCACGCAGGCGGUCUGUCAAGUCGGAUGUGAAAUCCCCGGGCUCAACCUGGGAACUGCAUUCGAAACUGGCAGGCUAGAGUCUUGUAGAGGGGGGUAGAAUUCCAGGUGUAGCGGUGAAAGGCGUAGAGAUCUGGAGGAAUACCGGUGGCGAAGGCGGCCCCCUGGACAAAGACUGACGCUCAGGUGCGAAAGCGUGGGGAGCAAACAGGAUUAGAUACCCUAGUAGUC